UGAUACUUGGUUCUUCAUGAUGCUUGACAGUCGUACACGCGUCCGACCUCUACAGGUAUCCACAUGAAGCCCUUGUGCUGAUCAAUCUCUCCGGUAGUGCUAGCUCGUGAAGAUAUUAUGCUUUGGCUGAUCUAAGAGAAAUCAGAAAGAUGAAGAAUAAGGAGACCCUCUCUUUUUUUUCCUAGAUUCAUGCAUCAGAUCUCUAUAAUAGA
rnacentral:lncRNA from 1 species